rnacentral:rRNA from 1 species
GAUGAACGCUGGCGGCGUGCCUAAUACAUGCAAGUCGAGCGAAUGGAUUAAGAGCUUGCUCUUAUGAAGUUAGCGGCGGACGGGUGAGUAACACGUGGGCAACCUGCCCAUAAGACUGGGAUAACUCCGGGAAACCGGGGCUAAUACCGGAUAACAUUUUGAACCGCAUGGUUCGAAAUUGAAAGGCGGCUUCGGCUGUCACUUAUGGCUGGAUCCGCGUCGCAUUAGCUCGUUGGUGAGGUAACGGCUCACCAAGGCAACGAUGCGUAGCCGACCUGAGAGGGGGAUCGCCCACACUGGGACUGAGACCCGGCCCAGACUCCUACGGGAGGCAGCAGUAGGGAAUCUUCCGCAAUGGACGAAAGUCUGACGGAGCAACGCCGCGUGAGUGAUGAAGGCUUUCGGGUCGUAAAACUCUGUUGUUAGGGAAGAACAAGUGCUAGUUGAAUAAGCUGGCACCUUGACGGUACCUAACCAGAAAGCCACGGCUAACUACGUGCCAGCCGCCGCGGUAA